rnacentral:rRNA from 1 species
AUUGAACGCUGGCGGCAGGCCUAACACAUGCAAGUCGAGCGGUAACACAGGGAGCUUGCUCCUGGGUGACGAGCGGCGGACGGGUGAGUAAUGUCUGGGAAACUGCCCGAUGGAGGGGGAUAACUACUGGAAACGGUAGCUAAUACCGCAUAACGUCUUCGGACCAAAGAGGGGGACCUUCGGCCUCAUGCCAUCGGAUGUGCCCAGAUGGGAUUAGCUAGUAGGUGGGGUAAUGGCUCACCUAGGCGACGAUCCCUAGCUGGUCUGAGAGGAUGACCAGCCACACUGGAACUGAGACACGGUCCAGACUCCUACGGGAGGCAGCAGUGGGGAAUAUUGCACAAUGGGCGCAAGCCUGAUGCAGCCAUGCCGCGUGUAUGAAGAAGGCCUUCGGGUUGUAAAGUACUUUCAGCGAGGAGGAAGGCGAUAAGGUUAAUAACCUUGUCGAUUGACGUUACCCGCAGAAGAAGCACCGGCUAACUCCGUGCCAGCAGCCGCGGUAAUAC